rnacentral:lncRNA from 1 species
UCAACUUAUGUAAUUUAUUUUCCUGUAUGUGCUGAUUUUACUCUUUGUUCCACUGUACUCCAAAAAUAGGGUAAAUACCUGUUUAAUAAAAAAAAAAAAUCCAAUCUUAAUUAUUUAAGGAAACUAUUCUUAUAAGUAAUUAGGUUUUACAUUUUCAGUAAGUAGUUUAUAAAAUAUUCCUAUAAGUAACUUAAAAUUUUGGAAAAAUAAAAUUUUAAAAAUAUCUGUAAAUAAUAAUUUACAGAUAUUUUUAAAAAAACUAUCUCUACAAAUUAAUCUUAUUUAAAAAAACUAUCUCAACAAAUAAUUAGUUUUUUAAAUUUAAAAUUUUUCUAUGCAAUAGAUUAUUUCUCCUAACUUUAAUUUAUUAUUUUCUAAAAUAAAAGUUUCUUAAAUAUCCGUGUACAAUUAAUGCACUGAUUAACAACUAGUUUAUUUAACAAACAACCAGUACAAGAAUAUAUAAAGCUAAAAAAUCACCAACCCACCACUUUUAUUUUUAAAAUGCAU